AUUGAACGCUGGCGGCAGGCUUAACACAUGCAAGUCGAGCGGGGUGAUGGUGCUUGCACUAUCACUUAGCGGCGGACGGGUGAGUAAUGCUUAGGAAUCUGCCUAUUAGUGGGGGACAACAUCUCGAAAGGGAUGCUAAUACCGCAUACGUCCUACGGAAGAAAGCAGGGGAUCACUUGUGACCUUGCGCUAAUAGGUGAGCCUAAGUCGGAUUAGCUAGUUGGUGGGGUAAGGGCCUACCAAGGCGAAGAUCUGUAGCGGGUCUGAGAGGAUGAUCCGCCACACUGGGACUGAGACACGGCCCAGACUCCUACGGGAGGCAGCAGUGGGGAAUAUUGGACAAUGGGGGGAACCCUGAUCCAGCCAUGCCGCGUGUGUGAAGAAGGCCUUAUGGUUGUAAAGCACUUUAAGCGAGGAGGAGGCUCUUUUGGUUAAUACCCAAGAUGAGUGGACGUUACUCGCAGAAUAAGCACCGGCUAACUCUGUGCCAGCCGCCGCCGUAA
rnacentral:rRNA from 1 species